UGAAGAAGGUUUUCGGAUCGUAAAGCUCUGUUGUUGGUGAAGAAGGAUAGAGGUAGUAACUGGCCUUUAUUUGACGGUAAUCAACCAGAAAGUCACGGCUAACUACGUGCCAGCAGCCGCGGUAAUACGUAGGUGGCAAGCGUUGUCCGGAUUUAUUGGGCGUAAAGCGAGCGCAGGCGGAAAAAUAAGUCUAAUGUGAAAGCCCUCGGCUUAACCGAGGAACUGCAUCGGAAACUGUUUUUCUUGAGUGCAGAAGAGGAGAGUGGAACUCCAUGUGUAGCGGUGGAAUGCGUAGAUAUAUGGAAGAACACCAGUGGCGAAGGCGGCUCUCUGGUCUGCAACUGACGCUGAGGCUCGAAAGCAUGGGUAGCGAACAGGAUUAGAUACCCUGGUAGUCCAUGCCGUAAACGAUGAGUGCUAAGUGUUGGGAGGUUUCCGCCUCUCAGUGCUGCAGCUAACGCAUUAAGCACUCCGCCUGGGGAGUACGACCGCAAGGUUGAAACUCAAAGGAAUUGACGGGGGCCCGCACAAGCGGUGGAGCAUGUGGUUUAAUUCGAAGCAACGCGAAGAACCUUACCAGGUCUUGACAUCUAGUGCAAUCUGUAGAGAUAUGGAGUUCCCUUCGGGGACGCUAAGACAGGUGGUGCAUGGCUGUCGUCAGCUCGUGUCGUGAGAUGUUGGGUUAAGUCCCGCAACGAGCGCAACCCUUGUUAUUAGUUGCCAGCAUUAAGUUGGGCACUCUAAUGAGACUGCCGGUGACAAACCGGAGGAAGGUGGGGAUGACGUCAAGUCAUCAUGCCCCUUAUGACCUGGGCUACACACGUGCUACAAUGGGCAGUACAACGAGAAGCAAGC
rnacentral:rRNA from 1 species